CCUACGGGUGGCAGCAGUGAGGAAUAUUGGUCAAUGGACGCGAGCCUGAACCAGCCAAGUAGCGUGAAGGAUGACUGCCCUACGGGUUGUAAACUUCUUUUAUAAAGGAAUAAAGUGAGGCACGUGUGCCUUUUUGUAUGUACUUUAUGAAUAAGGAUCGGCUAACUCCGUGCCAGCAGCCGCGGUAAUACGGAGGAUCCGAGCGUUAUCCGGAUUUAUUGGGUUUAAAGGGAGCGUAGAUGGGUUGUUAAGUCAGUUGUGAAAGUUUGCGGCUCAACCGUAAAAUUGCAAUUGAUACUGGCAGUCGUGAGUACAGUUGAGGUAGGCGGAAUUCGUGGUGUAGCGGUGAAAGGCUUAGAUAUCACGAAGAACUCCGAUUGCGAAGGCAGCCUACUAAACUGCCACUGACACUGAUGCACGAAAGUGUGGGGAUCAAACAGGAUUAGAUACCCGAGUAGUC
rnacentral:rRNA from 1 species